UCUCCUUAUCGUAGAUGGGUGAGGCAACCCUAAGUCAAAGGUCUCCCUGACGUAAUUGUAGGCCGUGGCUGAAUAAAACUGCAGAGUUAGUGCAAAUGAUUUAAGGGCUGGGUGGUAUUUUGUGUGUCUACUUUUCUGUCUCUUUAGUAUUUCCAAUGGCACAUCAGGGCAGUUUUCCAGCAUAAAUGCUCCAUUCUCUGUUAAGAACUGGGUUGCCUUGAGGGACUGAAUGAUACUCUGAAGCUUUGCGGUGAGGGUCUUUGGACUGCCAAAGCAGUAGCUGUGCUCAUGUCCUAUUGGAGCCUGAGGAGGACCUUCUGUUGGGUUGUCAGAAUUGUCCUCACUGCGCUGCACUGCCUCUGUUUUCCUUAAUGCAGGUGCCUUUCUGCGGAUCUGUUCCUGAAAAACAAGGUGAAUGGGAAAAAAGAGGUAAUCCUUCUCCUAAAGCUACCUUCUUAUAGUUGCAGCCAAAAGGCCAAGCUGGAUUUUGCCAUUUGGCGAAGUGAUCAGAGCAGAGGCAGGAGUAGGCAGAUGGCCUGAAGUUUUGCCUCCUGAGCUUCGCUACCCACUCUCUCCUCCUGACUGGGUAUUUUGGAAAUCUACAAAGGAGCUGGACACAAAAAUCAAAAUAAAGUUUAA